UAUUGGGCGUAAGAGCUCGUAGGCGGUUUGUCGCGUCUGCUGUGAAAUCCCGAGGCUCAACUUCGGGCUUGCAGUGGGUACGGGCAGACUAGAGUGCGGUAGGGGAGAUUGGAAUUCCUGGUGUAGCGGUGGAAUGCGCAGAUAUCAGGAGGAACACCGAUGGCGAAGGCAGAUCUCUGGGCCGUAACUGACGCUGAGGAGCGAAAGCAUGGGGAGCGAACAGGAUUAGAUACCCUGGUAGUCCAUGCCGUAAACGUUGGGCGCUAGAUGUAGGGACCUUUCCACGGUUUCUGUGUCGUAGCUAACGCAUUAAGCGCCCCGCCUGGGGAGUACGGCCGCAAGGCUAAAACUCAAAGGAAUUGACGGGGGCCCGCACAAGCGGCGGAGCAUGCGGAUUAAUUCGAUGCAACGCGAAGAACCUUACCAAGGCUUGACAUACACCGGAAACGGCCAGAGAUGGUCGCCCCCUUGUGGUCGGUGUACAGGUGGUGCAUGGUUGUCGUCAGCUCGUGUCGUGAGAUGUUGGGUUAAGUCCCGCAACGAGCGCAACCCUCGUUCUAUGUUGCCAGCGGGUUAUGCCGGGGACUCAUAGGAGACUGCCGGGGUCAACUCGGAGGAAGGUGGGGAUGACGUCAAAUCAUCAUGCCCCUUAUGUCUUGGGCUUCACGCAUGCUACAAUGGCCGGUACAAAGGGCUGCGAUACCGUAAGGUGGAGCGAAUCCCAAAAAGCCGGUCUCAGUUCGGAUUGAGGUCUGCAACUCGACCUCAUGAAGUCGGAGUCGCUAGUAAUCGCAGAUCAGCAACGCUGCGGUGAAUACGUUCCCGGGGCUUGUACACACCGCCCGUCAAGUCAUGAAAGUCGGUACACCCGAAGCCGGUGGGCUAACCCUUGUGGAAGGAGCCGUCGAAGGGGGAUCGUGAUUAGGACGAAGUCGUAAC
rnacentral:rRNA from 2 species